UUGAUAUCGCGANGCUUCAUGGAUACCGUGGUAAUUCUAGAGCUAAUACAUGCUGCACAGACCCGACUUCCGAGGGAGGGUUGUAUUUAUUAGAUAUCAAGCCAAUAGUCCCCUAAUCAGGGACUGUUGUGGUGAAUCACAGUAACUGAUCGAAUCCCGGGUCAGCCGGGAUAAAUCAUUCAAGUUUCUGCCCUAUCAGCUUUCGAUGGUAGUGUAUUGGACUACCAUGGCAGUCACGGGUAACGGAGAAUUAGGGUUCGGUUCCGGAGAGGGAGCCUGAGAAACGGCUACCACAUCUACGGAAGGCAGCAGGCGCGUAAAUUACCCAAUCCUGACUCAGGGAGGUAGUGACAAGAAAUAACAACCUGGGGGCCGUCACGGCCUUACGGGGAUUGCAAUGAGCACAAUUUAAACCCCUUAGCGAGGAACAAUUGGAAGGGCAAGUCUGGUGCCAGCAAGCCGCGGGUAAUUCCAGCUCCAAUAGCGUAUAUUAAAAGUU
rnacentral:rRNA from 1 species